UACGUAGGGUCCGAGCGUUGUCCGGAUUUAUUGGGGCGUAAAGAGCUCGUAGGCGGCUCAGUAAGUCAGGUGUGAAACCUCCAGGCUCAACCUGGAGACGCCACCUGAUACUGCUGUGGCUAGAGUCCGGUAGGGGGAGCGUGGAAUUCCUGGUGUAGCGGUGAAAUGCGCAGAUAUCAGGGAGGAACACCAGCGGCGAAGGCGGCGCUCUGGGGCCGGAACUGACGCUGAGGAAGCGAAAGCGUGGGUAGCAAACAGG
rnacentral:rRNA from 1 species